AAACCAGUUCUGGUGUAAGAAAAUGGAAAACAUUGUUUUCUUUCGAAUUAUACGGCUGAUGGCAAUGGGAAACCACAGAUCACUACGCAAAAGCUAGCGAAAAAUAAAUGCAGUUAAAAAGUGUAACGUGGAAGAGGAGAAACGCGCGUACGAAGGACAUAAGCGAGUACCAGAUCACUCGUAUAGCAACGUUUGCAGAUAAUCUUCAAGUACAGCGCGUGUUCCCCUUGAAAAUUCACCAAAUAAAAUCCAGCGGCUGCCGCAUGCCAGCGGCUAGCUUUGGAUGACAGGACGCGAGAUCUUUGCCAACAGCUUUAACUUUGUAAACGAUGCGACGAUUGGAAAUAAAAUUGUUGGGAAGCCUGGCCGAUCUGUGUCUUCAGUUUCUACCGAAGCCGCAGUUUCAAUUCAACGCUUCUGUCCUAUUUUGCUUCGUAUCGUGGAAUAACGUCACGGAAAUUUCAUCUUUACCGUGUGUAUACGUAUGAAGAAUCUUCUCAAGACAGAGUUCAACCGCUUCAAGGGACACAUAUAACGAAUGGAUUUUUCCUCAAGGUCAUCUCUUCACGAAAUUUCAAGACAUUUUUAUUUCCCACGCAAAGAUAUUCAAGUAUUUGUGUCUGAAAAUACCUGGUUGAAAUUUUUAUAUUUUAAUCCUAAUUUUAUAACGCUUUCGGGUCGUGUGAAAGACAAAGAAAGAGGCAAAAUGACGCUCUUACGUUUCUGUUUUCUCUUCUUGUCUCUGUUCUCUUCCUUUCGUAUGCUACAUUUCAAUUAAAAUCGAAAUAUCUUUUAAAUUCCUCAUUUCCUAACAUAAAUACUUGAAUACUUUUGCACGGACAAUACAAAAUUACAUUCAUGGUGUGAGAAAGAUAUAUAGAGUUCUAUUUAGGAAAUACCGAUGACCUUGAAAUCUUCUUUCUUAAAGAGAAGAAGAGAAAGAGAAGAAAAGAAAAAAGACGAAGCUGAGAAAAGAUUCUUUCCACCGUUACACGAGUCCGUUCAUAUGAUUUAACUUCGUCUUGAAAAGCUUUUUCGUAUGAUCGUAGAUAACGCAGGUAUUCAGGUAUUCGUUUAGCCGAGACACCAGGUAUAUUAGAUUAUAGAUUUUACAAACGCGCCUACAAACAUGUAAUUCGAUCUCUCCGUACAAUUUUUCCACUUUCCCAUUUCCACGGAUUUCUUUCUCUGAUUACUAGUUCGUUAUUACGAUCAACCCAUUAGAUAACUUUAAAGAAGUUGUACUGAUAGCUGUUUAGGAAUGACAAAGAGUAACAGAGAGACGGCGAACAAACGAGCAAAAGGGUAAAAGAGGAAAAGAGCGCGAGAAACGAAUGAGUUACCUUCGAUCGAGGUCAUGGUCGUGUCUAGGGUUCUUAUUCAAUGCCAUGGUUAAGUGUCGUUACUAUUAUCUAGCACGUGACAAUCUAGACGAUAACACAUAAUUUAUGGCUUAACCAUGAAAAUAAAGAAAUCAGAUCUAUCGAAACGAAACAAAGAGCGUGGAGUCGGUCGAUCGUGGCGAUACGGUAUUUUUAGUUGUUCCUCGAAGAUGCAGACACUAGUUGCAAUUUUAUGUUCGUUGCGAGCCAAAGAUAGCGAGAGUGAAUGGGUUUGGCAUUCGUGCUACAAGUGAUUUUGUUCACGAUAUUCGAAUCGAUCGAUAAUUUUCCGAACAACUGAAACGAGGUUCUCUCUCGCUUUUCUUUUUCUAUCUUUCGUCUACUGUUACUUUCCUUGCGACUGCACUACGGAUUUCUGUGUGCUUAUGCGAAAUUUACAGGAUGCACUGAUACGCGGAAUACAUAUAACGUACAGAAUGCAAAAAUAUACAAAAUAUUGAAGUAUGUGAAUGUUUGAGAAGUUUCAAUGUACAAAAGUAUACAGAAUACAUACAAUACACAAAUAUAUAUAUUUAAAGUAUAAAAGACAUAAAAAGUAUACGAAUUUAUGGGAAGUUUAAAUGUAGGAAAAUAUACAGAAUGCACGUGACAGUACACCUUUUAAUAUUUAAUAGAUGAAACACAUUUCAUAAACAUGACUUUGAAUAAAUAUUUGCAGUCUACUCAUCGCGUUAACAUAGCAUGUACAUAAAUAACAUAGCAUAUAAAAAUUUUUUGGCUAGUUUUAUAGUUGUGAGACGUAACGUAGGCGUGUAUAUUUUUCUAUUUAGGAAUAAAAGGAAAGAAGUUGGUAUUUACGUUUAAAAAAAUGUCUUCAAGUAAAUCUCCAGCCCCGGAGAUAAGGCGAAGGGAAGCAAGAUUAAGUUUGUUCAAGGACAAGCGGAAUCUCUCUUGGCAACAUACUGAAACCAGCUGACAUUCUAAAUGUCCAAACGUUCACGACUCACAGUCUGGCGCAGUUUGCUCUGACCCAUCCUUUUAUGCCCCCCCCCCCCCGCCACGCACACAGACGUACGCACGUGGGUACACUCCCUCUUUCUCUCCACACGCUCUCUUAAGUGAUAACGACGAAAAUUCUUCAUUACCAAAACAGUUUCCUUCGACUUGUCAAUGUUGAGAGUGAAUUUUGAGACGGGUUAUCAGCUGCCUCGGAGAAUAACGAAUGAUACGGAUAAGUAACGAACGAUUUUUCAAAUGCUUUUUUCUCAAUUUGUCAACAGUGGCUGGAAAUAUGUACGUUGAUUAUUGAGAAACGAGAGAAAAGAAAGAAAAAGAAAAGAAAAACAGCGGAUUUAUCAUGUAACUGAUUGUGAGAGGAUACAGUGACAGGUAGAGAGCUGAGAGCGAGCAAGCGAAAUGCUAUACCGGUUUUUGGUUGCUAUCGUGCGACGCGACGUAGAAUUUAAUUUUAUAGAGUAAGGUGUUUUGAGUUAAUUUGAGUUAAUUGCCGUAUCUACACAGCAGUUGUUAACUGGCUCAUUCUUCGCUUACAAGCUUAUAUAAUUAGGAAAUUAAAAAUUAAUAUAGCAAAUUAUUAAUCCCAAUUACAUUUAGUCCUUGCAGAUGUAAAUAUGAGAUAACUUUUUAACGAAAUCUUUGACAGAAAUAAAAGGACAAGUAAAGGGAUAAAUCAUGAAAUAAAAAUAUAUAGAUAGAAUUUUUAAAUAAAGGCAUGGCAAUGUCGAACCUCAUAUAUCCAAAAUAUUUUAACUCGUAGCUGGAACGCUCUCUUCUAUUUGCAUUAUUCACCGAGUAUGGAAACUUUCGUCAGAUGUUUCUGACCGCCCGGUAGAUCGAUCUCGAGGCAUUGGCAAAUGCCACAUGUAUCAUCAGUGAGCCCCUGCAUGCUGGCAGAGUGCAAUGACGUAGGUAUAAUUAGAAAUAUCGAUGAUAACAGUUAUAGCACAGUUUCCAUGAAAAACGUGCAGUCAUCGAGCUGGUGGCUCAGAGAAAGAGAGAGAGAGAGAAACUCAUCGAUUAAAAUAUUUUUUGUAACUUUGAAAUAGCAAAAGAUGAAGAACAAAAGGGAGGAAUCAAAGAAGGGAGGUAAAUGAAGGGAAAAUAUCGCGUAAAAUAAAGAGGAAAGGAAAGAGGAGAGGGUGAAAAAAAGUGAUAGUCCGGCAAUUUCUAUUGGGUGGAAAGUCUCACUGAGAACGCAGCUCGACGACCAUGAUAUAAAUUCCCGCUUUGGUAGGGAUGGCAUUUGGUCGACUACGGAGGGUUGCUAGACAGACCAACAGCAGACGGGAGUAACGAUUGCCACCACCCCUGGUUCGAGUCGAGCUAGUCACCCCUUCCGUGUCCUUCCGGCUUCCCACGCGUCCCUGCUCUGAACCCAACCCGUCCAGCGAGCCGGCCGCUUACUAACCAAACUGAAAACAUCCCCUCGUUGGUCAAUCGCCUUUGCUACCCCAUGCUGUUUUUCUCCCAACCAUUUUUUUCAACGGUUACACGCUACGUCGUUCUGUUCGAGCGAUACCCAGCUUCUAUAUGGAGCGAAAAGGUCGAGACUGGAAAGAUGCCUGACUGAGGAUCUACCGGAAAGUUAAGCGACGCCAAGCUAUGCUACGUUUGCUAUAUUUGUUUCAGUACAUAUUAUGUACACCGAACCGUUUCCACCGAAAGCUAAGCUUCUACUAUGUUUCAGCUUCUGGUCGACACGCUUCGGUAUAUGCGUAUGCAUGCGUAUGUAUGGAAGGAAAUAUUUUGAAACUUACGAUUAGUACAGUACUUAAGCGUAGCUUAGCUCAAUUUCCCGACGGAUCCCACGCUUUAAAGAAGGAAAGCUGAAUAAAGGAUAAGCGUUAUCUGGUUCGCAUGCGCGGAAGCUCUUUUUCAGAGCAUCGAUACCGCGACGUUCUAUAAAUAAAUAACCGGCGGUGAUAAGGCGGACUGGAGGCACAGGGUUGCGCACAUCCAUGUUAUUUUCGCUUUCUCUCGCUGUGUUCAGUGUUGACUCUAUUCGAUGUACACAAAAAUAGAAGAAACGCUGUAUAUGUAUAAAUUCGGAUAAAUUCAGAAGAUGCUGUCGUAAGCAGGAUGACGUAGAAUACUCUUUGAUUCUAUUUAGCGUAAAAAAAACAGACUAAGACAUGGGUCGUUGACUCGAGUUGGUAAUGUUGGAUGAGUAACAUUCGAAGAAGGAGAAAAUGCAGUUCGGUCGACGCUAUCUCCGCAUGGAUGAGUAUUGAUCCGUGACGCGCCCGUUUUCUCUAUCGGCACAACCAAAUUCAUGUUGCUUACAGCGAAUUUACUCGUACAUAAUUUAGACGUAUCCAUCGUAGGACCGACUAUACAGCAUCGAUUCAUACAUUCGUUCGUAUAAAACGUGUAUGGUCGCUGAUAAAGUGUCUCCUCUAUAGAACCUCGUACGAACGUGGAGGCAAUGAAAUCGGAAACAGCAUUGGAAGAUGGAACGUCGCGCGCCGCGAGAAACAAGUGAACAUUUUCUUCUAUAUGCGUAGUUGAAUCAAUAACGUGAACGACUGGUGGAAGGACGUGGGAUGUAUUGUUCGUACUAGGAGAUAUUUCAACGUGGAAAUCGCGAGCUCCAGCAACGUCGCUAGUUUUCUAGUGAAUCUUUAGCAUUUACCAUUCUUAUUAUACCGGUUCUUCGACUGCCCUAACCGGCCGGCGCAACGUUGCGCUAUUCGAAAAGAGAAGAGCACACACCUUAUCCACGUUACAAGACUCGAGAACAGGUCGACGACUGUGUAUAGUCUAACCUGGACCGAUAUGAUCGAUUCUCGAGUCUCUUUACACUUCGAAACUAUAUGACGAUAUAAGAUAAUGGGGAAGGUUGAUAGGCAUUGAAAUAGAAGGAGUGGAAUGACAUAAAUGUGUUUUAAUGAUAAAAUGAAAAUUGAGUGGCCUCGUGGAAAUGUACAAGCUAGUCUUGCAGCGUGUAACGCGGAGGAGGGAGGCCUUGUUCCUCUAUCCUUCUUGUCUUGUACAUUCAUAUUUUCAAGGUCAGUUGAUUCGUCCCACCUAGUUGCGGAGCUUUCGCCAGAUGGAACCACUGUACAAUCACGACGCGACGAAAUACACGUGGCUUACCGGAAACUAAGCUCCCCAUUGGGAAAGAUAUGACAGCGAUCGAGAAAAGAGAAAGGAAAAAAGAUAGAGAAGAUUGUUUUAAUAAUUCUGGGCAAAAUUUGGAGUCAAUCAGUCAAACUGAACUUGAGAGGUCGUUUUUAAUCGUUUAAGAAAAAUGCAGUUUCAAGAAAAACGAACAUCCUUUUAAAACUUGUACGCUUUUAAAUUCGCGUCCUAUAUAUUGUAUAACAUCUUCAAAUUCCUAUAACUUCGUUCAUUUUACAACUUCGGAAAAGUCCUGUCAUAAACUUAUGCUUUCAGAAAACCUAUACUUUUAAAAAAUGAGAAAAAGAAAUCGAUUGUUUACAAGUUCUAGGUUAGAAUACCCCCAGGAGAGUUUUAUUUAUGUGGCAGGAAUACACAUAUAGCUGUAGCGCUACACAAACCUGUCAAAGCAUCUUCCAAGUAAUAUAGAAAAAAUUAGAUUAAACUAGUAAAGUGUACUAAAGUAAUAAAUCGAUCAUCGGCAGCGUGUUAAUGGCAGUAUAAAAAUGCGAUAACUACAUAUAGAUAUAUCAAAGUAUUAUCGUGAGAAAGAAACUGAUAUUUCAAGAUAAUAAGAUUCAAGUUCCCAGUUUCUUUCUUACAAUAGGAGACAUGAGAAUUAUUAUGAAAAGCAAAUUAUUUAAACAAACCAUGUACAGCAGUAAGAUAGCAAGAAUUAAAUUGGUGACACUCAGUGCCACGAAAGGUCACGCAAGAAGUAAGUCAGAGAAACUAUUGGCGUUGCUUUGAAGAGGUUAUUACAUGGAUUCCGAUAAAUGUGUCAAACCGCUUGAAAACUCGAUGCGAAUGACUUUCGAAAUAACGAUGAUUUACUUUAUACACUCUUAUAUGUAAAUUCGAUCAAUUUAAUUUUGAGGUUAAUUCGAUCGACGUUGACUUCGACUUAUCGAUUAUUGUAACGAUGUCGUCGUCGUAAACGUUAUACCUCUAAGAAUAAAGAUACAAAUGUUUUCGUUUCUAGAAGCGAUAACGAUUUAUCGAAUAAGGGGGAAAUCGAUCGUUACUUCGAAAACCAUGUUCGCAGCAAUACUCGGUUUGUGAAUCUAUUUACAUCACAAAACGUUAUUUUGUGAUCUACCUAACCUUAAUUCAAUCAGAGAAUGAAACAAAUUUCAUUAGAAUACAACGCAAAUUCUUUGAACUCGAUUUAAUGCGAAGUUAGAGAUCAGAAAAUGACGAUCUGUGAAGUAAACAGGAUUCACAGUGAAUCGAGAUAGCUUGGCGACUGACAUCGUAUUUUCUAGAGGCCCGGCCGCGGUGACGUUCACUGCUUCCACGAUCACGGGCUCUUGUAAUAGCGCAAA